UACCAGUAUAUGCUGACAGGUAUCAUAUACUGCUUUUUUCCCUCUUUAUAAGAAAUUAGACACUACAUGGUCUUUUUCAUUUCAGUUUAUCCGUCAGAUGUUUGUAACUGAAUUUCUAGGGUCCAAAGCCAUUUCUUUUUUAAUAUGCAUCUGAUUAAGCAAAGUGUUCAUAGGAGAUUUCUUUCAUCUAAACACAGUUUUAAUUUAAAUGCAAUGAUGUGAUUCUGAGUGAUCACAGGGAUGCUUUCCAGUUACCUGAGAAUAAACUAAAGAAUUUUUUGUGUAUCUACCAGCAGAUUUUUUCCAUGGCAUUGAUGUUGUAGGUGAUGUUCAUCUAAGCUCUUCUCUACGUUCUACCUUUGACUAAGUGUUCAGAAUAAAAGCUAAUUUUAGCUGGAUUUGAGAACCCAUUCUAAAUUUAAUACGUCACAAAUAAAUCUAUGAGAUGUUUAUAUGAGAAGAAAAUUAUGUUUUUGCCAACCUGGACAAUGUACCUUGGAUGAGAAUGAGUCUGUUUUCGGUAUCUGAAAGUUGCUGUACAGGAAAAUAAUAUAGACAAGAUCCUGAAAAGAUUGCCAUAACUUUAUCAGUUUAUAUUGCAUAGGUAAGAUCCCCAGCCGAUAGAAGUCCUCUUAGGUGCUGCUCACGAGACCUUUGGGAUUAUGGAACCUUGUGAUAUGAAGUACCGUUCUUGUAGCUUGCCAUGAUAUUUAAUUUACCAUAAAGGAUAUGGCAUGAAGCGGAUGAAUAUUAGAAUCCUUUAUUUUCUUAAUAAAAUAAAGAGAUAACAAUUGCAGUAGAUAUGUGGUUCUGGGUUUUGGUAGAAAUUAUAUCUACUUCUAAGCUGCUUAUCCAAUUUAUUACUGAUUUCUAGGUUUAGGUCCCAUGAUAUCUGAGCUGCAUAUUUCGAAUUGAUCCAGUUGACUGCCAUGUAAUUCUAUAUGACAAGGAAAGUAUAAUUCAAGAGGAUGGCGAGAACUGUUAAUGCAUAAUGUGCUCACAUACAGAAAUCCAUAUAAUGUCUUCUUUUGUUAUCACUUUUAAUAGAUUGUAAUCCAUUUUGUCCCAUUCUCUGGAGGAGGAAUUUCCCAAUCUCUGCCUUCUUUUUUUCAUAGGAAAGGGAUAAAAUGGAUCACUUGCACUAUAAUUAUCCAGGUCUGAAUACUGAGAAUGCAACAUCCAAGACUCAAACCAAGAAGCUCAGAGAGGUGUGGCCAUUGGGAUAAGCCCCAGUUCCCUGAUUCACGAGGAAGAAUUUGUCUUCAAUCUUCAGAUUGAUGAUGACCCUUUUGAUGGAGCAGUAGCAGAAAUAUAUUUCAUGAAGGAAUAACACAGUAAAUUUAUUCAAGCUUUAGCUGGAAAGGUUAAAAGAAAAACCAGAGAAUUCAGAUCAGAUUAUUCUCAUUCAGUUUAGUUUUAUAUUUUUGGAGAAUGAGGUAUAUGUUCUUUUUCUUUUAUCAAGUGUUUUAGUACUAUUGGAAUGUAACUAUGCUUGUAAACUGCAGACAGUUCUUGUAUUUGUCGUUACUAGUGAAUAGUUUUAGUACUUGGAAUGCAAACUAAUAUGCCCAUGGGUGUCUCCUCUCUAU
rnacentral:lncRNA from 1 species